CAGCCGCCACGGUAAUACGUAAGUGGCAAGCGUUGUCCGGAAUUAUUGGGCGUAAAGGGCUCGCAGGCGGUCUCUUAAGUCUGAUGUGAAAGCCCCCGGCUCAACCGGGGAGGGUCAUCGGAAACUGGGAAACUUGAGUGCAGAAGAGGAGAGUGGAAUUCCACGUGUAGCGGUGAAAUGCGUAGAGAUGUGGAGGAACACCAGUGGCGAAGGCGACUCUCUGGUCUGUAACUGACGCUGAGGAGCGAAAGCGUGGGGAGCGAACAGGAUUAGAUACCCCAGUAGUCCCUGUCUCUUAUAC
rnacentral:rRNA from 1 species